rnacentral:rRNA from 1 species
CCUACGGGGUGCACCAGUGGGGAAUAUUGCGCAAUGGGCGCAAGCCUGAUGCAGCCAUGCCGCGUGUAUGAAGAAGGCCUUCGGGUUGUAAAGUACUUUCAGCGAGGAGGAAGGCAUUAAGGUUAAUAACCUUGGUGAUUGACGUUACUCGCAGAAGAAGCACCGGCUAACUCCGUGCCAGCAGCCGCGGUAAUACGGAGGGUGCAAGCGUUAAUCGGAAUUACUGGGCGUAAAGCGCACGCAGGCGGUUUGUUAAGUCAGAUGUGAAAUCCCCGGGCUCAACCUGGGAACUGCAUUUGAAACUGGCAAGCUAGAGUCUCGUAGAGGGGGGUAGAAUUCCAGGGGUAGCGGUGAAAUGCGUAGAGAUCUGGAGGAAUACCGGUGGCGAAGGCGGCCCCCUGGACGAAGACUGACGCUCAGGUGCGAAAGCGUGGGGAGCAAACAGGAUUAGAUACCCCAGUAGUC